AAGAUAUUGAGUUUGUUUGCACGUCUCAGAAACUUACGAACAAUGCUAUAGUCUUAUUCAUCCGAUUUUUGUAUGAAAAAUUGGAUGGCGAUGCACGCAAAACCAAGUUCGGAUUUAUGAAUCCAGCGGCAGUUCACUUUUCAGUCAAUAAAACAGAACUCGUGAAAAGUGUAUUAAAUAGACUGAAAGAUUCAGUGCCGAGUCGAAAAUACAUAUUUAUUCCUUGUAAUACAGGAAUUCAUUGGGUACUAAUUGUAUUUUUCGAUGGGGUAUUUUAUUACUUAAAUUCGUUGGAUGAGAAGUGUAGAUACAAACUAGAGGAG